GGAGGGUGCAAGCGUUAAUCGGAAUUACUGGGCGUAAAGCGCGCGCAGGCGGCUGGGUCAGUCGGAUGUGAAAGCCCCGGGCUUAACCUGGGAAUUGCAUUCGAUACCGCCCGGCUAGAGUAUGGGAGAGGGAAGUGGAAUUUCCGGUGUAGCGGUGAAAUGCGUAGAUAUCGGAAGGAACACCAGUGGCGAAGGCGGCUUCCUGGCCCAAUACUGACGCUCAGGUGCGAAAGCGUGGGGAGCGAACAGGGAUUAGAUACCCUGGUAGUCCACGCUGUAAACGAUGAGAACUAGAUGUUGGGAGGGUUAGCCUCUCAGUGUCGCAGCUAACGCGUUAGGUUCUCCGCCUGGGGAGUACGACCGCAAGGUUG
rnacentral:rRNA from 1 species